rnacentral:sRNA from 1 species
UUUCAAGAUGGUCGCCUAAGCUGUUUAGUGAAAUUUCUUCCACCUUUCUCCAUUCCUCUAGGUGCUUUUUCUGAACCUGGAUGUGACGCAUUAAAGGAUCCGACGGAAAUAGAAUUGAAGGCAUUCUAAAAUGGCUAACCGUACAGUGAAGGAUGCGCACAGCAUCCACGGCACCAACCCUCAAUAUCUGGUGGAGAAGAUCAUUCGAACGCGAAUCUAUGAGUCCAAGUACUGGAAAGAGGAGUGCUUUGGACUUACGGCUGAACUUGUAGUCGAUAAAGCCAUGGAGUUAAGGUUUGUGGGUGGCGUCUAUGGUGGCAACAUAAAACCAACACCCUUUCUGUGUUUAACCUUGAAGAUGCUUCAAAUUCAGCCGGAGAAGGAUAUCAUUGUAGAGUUUAUCAAAAAUGAAGAUUUCAAGUAUGUCCGCAUGCUGGGGGCACUUUACAUGAGGCUGACAGGCACUGCAAUUGAUUGCUACAAGUACUUGGAGCCUUUGUACAAUGACUAUCGAAAAAUCAAGAGCCAGAACCGAAAUGGGGGUGAGUAUGGUGCUAAGUCUCCUGAUUGUCAUUUUGAAGCCAGUUUUUAUUUCACUAGUACAUUGUCAUAGACAGUGUGAAUGCUCCUCUUCAUCUGCAUUGUUACUGCCUCUAUGCAGGUUUUCCCUUGUCCCUCAUGGGAGUUUUCAGUCUGACUACUAGCUUCGUGUUGGCCUUCCCCAGCCUGCCUCUGUCUGCCUCCCUUUCCAAGUGCAUCUUAUGUUAAUCCCUGCCUUGCAUCAUAUGCCCCCUUUACAUGUGCUCCAUCCCAAAAGAUCUAGCUGCAGAAUGGCUUCUCCAUAAAAACCUUCCCCAGCCCUCUCAGACAAAAUUAGUUCUCCAUAUUUUACAUUUUCACAGUUCUUUCUACUG